rnacentral:misc_RNA from 1 species
UCCGUGUUUCCACGGCAGUCCCGCUAGAGUGCUUCCUUUCGGCGAGCAACUAACGGCAAGGGUUGCGCUCGUUCAAGGACUUAACCCGACGUCUCACGACACGAGCUGACGACAGCCAUGCAGCACCUGUGUAACCGUCUGUAUUGCUACAGAACCCAAUAUUUCUAUCAGUGGCAGUUACAUGUCAAGCCCAGGUAAGGUUCCUCGCGUAGUGUCGAAUUAAACCACAUGUUCCACCGCUUGUGCGGACCCCCGUCAAUUCCUUUGAGUUUUAAUCUUGCGACCGUACUUCCCAGGCGGAUCACUUAACGCGUUAGCUUCGACACAGACUAUGCUAUGCACAGCCCACAUCUAGUGAUCAUCGUUUACAGCGUGGACUAC